UCAGUUGUCCUUGAAAAUCAAGAGAAAAAUUGUGCUAUUGCGUUAAAUGUGAUUCACACAUCUGUACUCAAGCCUGCUGUCCUCCCCUCUCUGGAAGCUGAGUGGAGGCGCGGAUCAGUUGCUCCAAGUGUACUUCUCUCAGUUUUGGAGCCUCACAUGCAGCUUCCUUCUGAUGUCGACCUCCGCCAAUCUCCUAGUGUUGAGCUCCUAGCACCACAAUUAUUGAAUGUGUCACCUCUUCCUUCUGUCCUACGCCAGGCUGGAG
rnacentral:misc_RNA from 1 species